GCUUCCAUAGCUCAGUUGGUUAGAGCGUCGUACUAAUAAUUGGGCAUCUGUUCAAUCACGAGUAAUGCGAAUGUCGCAGGUUCAAUCCCUGCUGGGAGCA
rnacentral:tRNA from 1 species